rnacentral:rRNA from 1 species
UACGUAGGUGGCAAGCGUUGUCCGGAUUUACUGGGUGUAAAGGGCGUGUAGCCGGGAAGGCAAGUCAGAUGUGAAAUCCACGGGCUUAACUCGUGAACUGCAUUUGAAACUGUUUUUCUUGAGUAUCGGAGAGGCAAUCGGAAUUCCUAGUGUAGCGGUGAAAUGCGUAGAUAUUAGGAGGAACACCAGUGGCGAAGGCGGAUUGCUGGACGACAACUGACGGUGAGGCGCGAAAGCGUGGGGAGCAAAC